rnacentral:rRNA from 1 species
ACGCUCGACACCUACGGAGGCAGCAGUGGGGAAUAUUGCACAAUGGGGGAAACCCUGAUGCAGCGACGCCGCGUGGAGGAAGAAGGUCUUCGGAUUGUAAACUCCUGUUGUUGGGGAAAAAGAGGAUGGUACCCAACAAGGAAGUGACGGCUAACUACGUGCANNCGCGAGUAUNGCGGCGUGNGAGAG